GGUGAGGUGGCCGAGUGGUUGAAGGCGCGGUUCUCGAAAAGCCGUAAAGGAGAAAUCCUUUCGUGGGUUCGAAUCCCACCCUCACCG
rfam:Parcubacteria bacterium GW2011_GWB1_44_7 TW71_C0035, whole genome shotgun sequence.